GACGAACGCUGGCGGCGUGCUUAACACAUGCAAGUCGAACGGCAAGGCCCUGCUUUUGUGGGGUGCUCGAGGGGCGAACGGGUGAGUAACACGUGAGUAACCUGCCCUUGACUUUGGGAUAACUUCAGGAAACUGGGGCUACUACCGGAUAGGAGCUCCUGCUGCAUGGUGGGGGUUGGAAAGUUUCGGCGGGCGGGGAUGGACUGGCGGCUUAUCAGCUUGUUGGUGGGGUAGUGGCUUACCCAGGCAUUGACGGGUAGCCGGCCUGGGAGGGGGACCGGCGACAUGGGGACUGAGAUACGGCGCAGACGCGUACGGGAGGCAGCGGUGGGGAGUAUUGCACAAUGGGCGGAAGCCUGAUGCAGCGACGCCGCGUGCGGGAUGACGGCCUUCGGGUUGUAAACCGCUUUCGCCUGUGACGAAGCGGGAGUGACGGUAAUGGGUAAAGAAGCACCGGCUAACUACGUG
rnacentral:rRNA from 1 species